GACGAGCCACACGAACGUUAUUCGGAAUUACUGGGCUUAAAGGGUGCGUAGGCGGUGCGGAAAGUUGGGUGUGAAAUCCCUCGGCUCAACCGAGGAACUGCGCCCAAAACUACCGUACUCGAGGAAGAUAGAGGUGAGCGGAACUUACGGUGGAGCGGUGAAAUGCGUUGAUAUCGUAAGGAACACCCGUGGCGAAAGCGGCUCACUGGGUCUUCUCUGACGCUGAUGCACGAAAGCUAGGGGAGCAAACGGG
rnacentral:rRNA from 1 species